AGGUAUCGGUUCCAUGGAGCGUCACGGCGGAGGGAGAGUGUCUCAAAAAACGAAAAUAUAAAAUGCAUUUCACCACAGACUACACAAAAAUGUGUCCUUGUUUAAUAAGGAUGAAAAAUAAUGACAAUGUUACGCGCUGAACUGUUUGCAACAGUGAUUUCAGCAUUGCUCAUGACGGUUUAAACGACUGUAAAAGGUACGUCCAGGCUCCUUGAUCCCAGUGGUAAGCUGCCGUCUACCGAAACACCCUGAUCACAGAGGCAAAGCACUGUCCACCCAAACACCCUGAUCCCAGAUGUAGGCUGCCAUCCACGCAAACACAUUGUUCCCAGAAGUAAUCUGCCAUUCACCCAACCAUGCUGAUCCCAGAGAGGUAGGCUGCCUGUGACCCAGCCCCCUAACCCCAGAGGUAGGCUGCCUGUGACCCAGCCCCCUAACCCCAGAGGUAGGCUGCCUGUGACCCAGCCCCCUGACCCCUGAGGUAACCUCGCUUCCACCUAAACACUCUGAUCUCAGAGGCAAGCUGACAUUUGCCCAAACACCCUGAUCACAGAAAUAAGCUGCCAUCCACCUAAACGACCUACCCCUAGAGGUAAGCUGACAUCCAUCUAACUGCCUUGAUCCUAGGCUGCCCCAGUACGUCUAGGUGGUGACAAUCCAUCCUACAGGGUUGACAUGAUGUGCUUUCCUGAAGCACACAAAGGACACCUCGGGUUUUAUGAAUGUGUAUGACAGUGUUUUAGCCCGACCCUUGUGCAGAGGUCGGAAGUCUGUGGGUAUGUUCCUUUUUGAACUUUUUCUUUUUGUCUUAACUUUUUAUUGGCAUGCAUAUAAGGUAACAUUUUAACUGUUUUAUUGGCCAUGUAAUUAGAUUUUAAUGGUGUAUAAUUGUAUUUGCUGGUGGAAUUGCUCUUUUGCCUGUUUUAAGGGUAAUAGUUCUGCAGGUAGUUCUAUUUGUUAAAUGUUAUCCUUAAAAUUCUUAUUGUACUGGGUUGGCAUUGAUUUGCAUGGUGUUUCAGCCUUUUAGAUUGUGAUUUUGUGUUAAUGUAAGUAGUACAAGCAUAAUAUUAUUUAAAAAUUGGCGGGGUGCAGUCUGCGGGUAUCGCUUCUCGGCCUUUUGGCUAAGAUCAAGUGGAUUUUACUGACUUUUUACUG